AUUGAACGCUGGCGGCAGGCCUAACACAUGCAAGUCGAGCGGAUGACGGGAGCUUGCUCCUUGAUUCAGCGGCGGACGGGUGAGUAAUGCCUAGGAAUCUGCCUGGUAGUGGGGGACAACGUUUCGAAAGGAACGCUAAUACCGCAUACGUCCUACGGGAGAAAGCAGGGGACCUUCGGGCCUUGCGCUAUCAGAUGAGCCUAGGUCGGAUUAGCUAGUUGGUGAGGUAAUGGCUCACCAAGGCGACGAUCCGUAACUGGUCUGAGAGGAUGAUCAGUCACACUGGAACUGAGACACGGUCCAGACUCCUACGGGAGGCAGCAGUGGGGAAUAUUGGACAAUGGGCGAAAGCCUGAUCCAGCCAUGCCGCGUGUGUGAAGAAGGUCUUCGGAUUGUAAAGCACUUUAAGUUGGGAGGAAGGGCAGUAAGUUAAUACCUUGCUGUUUUGACGUUACCGACAGAAUAAGCACCGGCUAACUCCGUGCCAGCAGCCGCGGUAAAAC
rnacentral:rRNA from 1 species